ACGGCAGAGGCGAGAGGCAGGGAACGCGGUGUUGGAGGUGGUGGGGGAGGACUUGGCCACUGCCCAUGGGGGCCCUGGCCACUCUAAAUCAGUUAGUUUUGGAGGAGAUCCUGGUCGGCUUUUUAAGAGGGUCCAUUAUAGGCUUGUUAAUGCCUCAGCCGAGGGGGAAACACUGUUAACUGCACUCAAUUCUCUGCGCACUCUAUCUUGGUCUCACUCUCCCUAACACAAACAAAUACACCUGCAAAAAAUUCCCAUUUUCUUCCCCUUCCUGUUUUCCCUAUCAUUAUGUGCAGUUUUCUUCAGAUUCUGUGUCUUCUGGCCUUGUGUUCUCGCUCCAUGCACCCGGCUUUACCCCAAGUCUCCUGAUCAUGAAUUUCACGGUUCUGGCCUUCACUGAGAGCAUCACAAAAUCAGAAAGUCUUCCCAUUUUCCGCCGUGGCCUGUGUUCUCUGAAGUCCACUCUGUUUGCGGCACAAACUCCAACCUUCAGCAUCGCUACACCUGAGGUGCAAGCUAAUGUCCUUCAUCGCCGCAUUCUGAACUGUCGUCAAGGAAAGGUGCCUUUCGGUCGCCCUGGAAACCAUGCCUCCCAGCAUUCUUUGUGUGAGUGACAAGAAGACGGUGUGACGGUGUGACGGUGUGACGUCUUUGUCUGAACGGGUAUCUCAGGAGCUGGACGGAUAUGAAAUCGCCUUUUCAUCAUGUACCGACCGAAAAAAAAGGAUCCACGACUGGCUAUACCAUGACUAGUGCAGCCUGCAUGUGUCCCAGGCAGACAAACCCCCCCUUUGGAUGAAUAAAAGACAG